rnacentral:tRNA from 1 species
GGAAGAGUGGCGGAGCGGUCAAACGCGCUGCAUUGGAAACGCAGAGUCCUCCGGGGCACACGAGUUCGAAUCUCGUCUCUUCCGCCA